CCUACGGGGGGCAGCAGUGAGGAAUAUUGGUCAAUGGGCGAGAGCCUGAACCAGCCAAGUCGCGUGAGGGAUGACUGCCCUAUGGGUUGUAAACCUCUUUUGUAUGGGGGGAAUAAGCUUUACGAGUAGAGUGAUGACAGUACCAUACGAAUAAGCAUCGGCUAACUCCGUGCCAGCAGCCGCGGUAAUACGGAGGAUGCGAGCGUUAUCCGGAUUUAUUGGGUUUAAAGGGUGCGUAGGCGGCAUUAUAAGUUAGUGGUAAAAUAUUGGGGCUUCACCUCACUACGCCAUUAAUACUGUAGAGC
rnacentral:rRNA from 1 species